rnacentral:rRNA from 1 species
GUGAGGAAUAUUGGUCAAUGGGCGCAAGCCUGAACCAGCCAAGUAGCGUGCAGGAUGACGGCCCUAUGGGUUGUAAACUGCUUUUAUGCGGGGAUAAAGUGUGCCACGUGUGGCAUAUUGCAGGUACCGCAUGAAUAAGGACCGGCUAAUUCCGUGCCAGCAGCCGCGGUAAUACGGAAGGUCCGGGCGUUAUCCGGAUUUAUUGGGUUUAAAGGGAGCGUAGGCUGCCUGUUAAGCGUGCAGUGAAAUGUAGGUGCUCAACAUCUGACGUGCUGCGCGAACUGGCUGGCUUGAGUGCGUUGAAGGCGGGCGGAAUUCGUGGUGUAGCGGUGAAAUGCUUAGAUAUCACGAAGAACUCCGAUUGCGAAGGCAGCUCGCCGUGUCGUUACUGACGCUGAAGCUCGAAGGUGCGGGUAUCGAACAGGAUUAGAUACCCUAGUAGUCC